ACCUGGCUGGCUCAGUUGGUGGAGUGUGUGACUCUCAAUCUUGGGGUCAUGGGUUUAAGCCCCACGUCAGGUA
rnacentral:tRNA from 1 species